rnacentral:rRNA from 1 species
GUGAGGAAUAUUGGACAAUGGGCGCAAGCCUGAUCCAGCCAUGCCGCGUGCAGGAAGACGCAUCUAUGGUGUGUAAACUGCUUUUGUACGGGAAGAAACACUCACUCGUGAGGGAGCUUGACGGUACCGUAAGAAUAAGGAUCGGCUAACUCCGUUCCAGCAGCCGCGGUAAUACGGAGGAUCCAAGCGUUAUCCGGAAUCAUUGGGUUUAACGGGUCCGUAGGCGGUUUUAUAAGUCAGUGAUGAAAGCCCAUCGCUAAACGAUGGAACUGACAUUGAUACUGUUAGACUUGAAUUACAUGGAAAUAACUAGAGUAUGUAGUAUAGCGGUGAAAUGCUUAGAUAUUACAUUGAAUACCAAUUGCGAAGGCAGCUUACUACUUGUGGAUUUACUCUGAUGGACGAAAGCGUGGGGAGCGAACAGGAUUAGGAACACGUGAAGACC